rnacentral:rRNA from 1 species
ACGGGUGAGUAACGCGUAGGUAUCUGCCCUAAAGUGGGGGACAACUCGGGGAAACUCGAGCUAAUACCGCAUAAUUUCUGAGGAAAAAAGGCUGGGACCGUAAUAGGCCAGUUGCUUUAGGAUGAACCUGCGUUCGAUUAGCUAGUUGGUAGGGUAAAGGCCUACCAAGGCGACGAUCGAUAGCUGUUCUGAGAGGAAGAUCAGCCACACUGGGACUGAGACACGGCCCAGACUCCUACGGGAGGCAGCAGUGGGGAAUAUUGGACAAUGGGGGCAACCCUGAUCCAGCAAUGCCGCGUGUGUGAAGAAGGCCUGCGGGUUGUAAAGCACUUUCGUUGGGGAGGAAAGGAUUAUGGUUAAUAGCCAUGAUUCUGGACGCUACCCAAAAAAGCAGCACCGGCUAACUCUGUGCCAGCAGCCGCGGUAAUACAGAGGGUGCAAGCGUUAAUCGGAAUUAUUGGGCGUAAAGGGCGCGUAGGUGGUUUGUUAAGUUGACUGUGAAAGCCCCGGGCUUAACCUGGGACGGUCAGUCAAUACUGGCGAACUUGGAGUACAGUAGAGGGUAGUGGAAUUUCCAGU